rnacentral:rRNA from 1 species
AUUGAACGCUGGCGGCAGGCCUAACACAUGCAAGUCGAGCGGAUGAAGGGAGCUUGCUCCUGGAUUCAGCGGCGGAUGGGUGAGUAAUGCCUAGGAAUCUGCCUGGUAGUGGGGGAUAACGUCCGGAAACGGGCGCUAAUACCGCAUACGUCCUGAGGGAGAAAGUGGGGGAUCUUCGGACCUCACGCUAUCAGAUGAGCCUAGGUCGGAUUAGCUAGUUGGUGGGGUAAAGGCCUACCAAGGCGACGAUCCGUAACUGGUCUGAGAGGAUGAUCAGUCACACUGGAACUGAGACACGGUCCAGACUCCUAUGGGAGGCAGCAGUGGGGAAUAUUGGACAAUGGGCGAAAGCCUGAUCCAGCCAUGCCGCGUGUGUGAAGAAGGUCUUCGGAUUGUAAAGCACUUUAAGUUGGGAGGAAGGGCAGUAAGUUAAUACCUUGCUGUUUUGACGUUACCAACAGAAUAAGCACCGGCUAACUUCGUG